rnacentral:sRNA from 1 species
GCCAUACCACUUUGACGUAUUAUUCAAGAGCGUGGAUCUGCACUUGUUGAAACCAAUGCAGUCCUAAACCAAAAAGCUUGACAGAAUUCAUAGAGUGCUUAUCUUUUCUUUGUAGGUUUCAGAAUUCCUUCCUUCAUGUGCGCUUGAUCUUGUUCAUUAUAAGAUCCUUUCUCUUCUUGCCUUUUCCUUGUUUCCACUGUUUCAAACCUUCUUGAAGAUUGACCAACUUCAAAAACACGACGAGUACCAGUUGUGACUGUUGUUCCCACCGAAGACGUGAUAUUAGAAUCUGUGGAGACUUGUUAGCCUUGAUAGAGCCCCUGAUAAGAAGUUCCCCUAACAUGUUGGUUAAGUCCUUCUCUUG